ensembl:lncRNA
UGAAUGACAGUAACCUAAACCUGUCACUGUUACAUUGAACUGGACGAAUGUGAAUCAUCCAGUAUGCUGUAAUAUAAAUAAGGUCAUGCUCAUGAAUAAAUAACCGUCCUCCCUCAUCUUUGAACGGCACCGACCUCCACUGUCUGCCCUUUGCCUUCAACACUACGGGCGGCAACAAUGUCAUCCUCCUUCUGACCAGACAGCAGCAGAUAGAUAGAGCCAACACGUAGAGAGACAGAGGGGCGCUGUUUCGCUGACUCGGAUCUCUUCUCAUGUGGGAUACAUUCAGCCUCUUGUGAAUCGGAGGAAAAUAAUGAAACGGCAGAGACUAAAUGUAUAGUAAAAUAUAUAGAAAAAAUAUAUAGAAAAAUAUAUAGAAAAAAUAUAUAGAAAAAUAUAUAGAAAAAAUAUAUAAAAAAAUAUAUAGAAAAAUAUAUAGAAAAAAUAUAUAGAAAAAUAUAUAGAAAAAAUGUAUAGUAAAAUAUAUAGAAAAAAUAUAGAAAAAUAUAUAGAAAGAUAUAUAGAAAAAAUGUAUAGUAAAAUAUAUAGAAAAAAUAUAUAGAAAAAUAUAUAGAAAAAAAUGUAUAGUAAAAUAUAUAGAAAAAAUAUAUAGAAAAAUAUAUAGAAAAAAUAUCUACAAAAAAAAUAUAUAGAAAAAUAUAUAGAAAAAAUAUAUAGAAAAAUAUAAUAAAAAUAAAAAUAUAAAAAAUAUGUAGAAAAAAAAUAUAUAGAAAAAAUAUAUAGAAAAAAUAUAUAGAAAAAAAUAUAUAGAAAAAUAUAUUUUGGGGGGGGUCAAUUCUGGGCUUCCCUUGGCAGCCAUCAAUACAUGCCAUUGGCUGCAUUUAGAUACACCUCUAUGUUGUAAUGGGGGUACAUUUCAGAUAAACCUCUAUGUUGUAAUGGGGGUAAAUUUCAGAUAAACCCCUAUGUUGUAAUGGGGUACAUUUCAGAUUUUAAAAAACCCUAUGUUGUAAUGGGGUACAUUUCAGAUAAUAAACCCCUAUGUUGUAAUGGGGUACAUAUAAAAAAAACUAUGUUGUAAUGGGGUACAUUUCAGAUAAUAAACCCCUAUGUUGUAAUGGGGUACAUUUCAGAUACACCCCUAUGUUGUAAUGGGGUACAUUUCAGAUAAAAAACACUAUGUUGUAAUGGGGUACAUUUCAGAUAAUAAACCCCUAUGUUGUAAUGGGGUACAUUUCAGAUACACCCCUAUGUUGUAAUGGGGUACAUAUAAAAAAAAACUAUGUUGUAAUGGGGUACAUUUCAGAUAAAACCCUAUGUUGUAAUGGGGUACAUUUCAGAUAAAAACCCCUAUGUUGUAAUGGGGUACAUUUCAGAUAAACCCCUAUGUUGUAAUGGGGGUACAUUUCAGAUAAACCCCUAUGUUGUAAUGGGGGUACAUUUCAGAUAAACCUCUAUGUUGUAAUGGGGGUACAUUUCAGAUAAACCCCUAUGUUGUAAUGGGGUACAUUUCAGAUAAAAAACCCUAUGUUGUAAUGGGGUACAUUUCAGAUAAAAAAAACCUAUGUUGUAAUGGGGUACAUUUCAGAUAAAAAACCCUAUGUUAUAAUGGGGUACAUUUCAGAUAAAAAACCCUAUGUUGUAAUGGGGCACAUUUCAGAUUUAAAAAAACUAUGUUGUAAUGGGGUACGUCUCUUUCUUGUGUUAUUAUAUAAAGCGAUGGUAUGGCACAUGCAUGUGUGUGUGUAUAAACCUUAAUAUGUGCUGUGUGUGUGUGUGUGUGUGUGUGUGUGUGUGUGUGUGUGUGUGUGUGUGUGUG